GACGAACGCUGGCGGCGCGCCUAACACAUGCAAGUCGAACGGAGUCAAGAGGAGCUUGCUUUUCUUGACUUAGUGGCGAACGGGUGAGUAACGCGUGAGUAACCUGCCCUGGAGUGGGGGACAACAGUUGGAAACGACUGCUAAUACCGCAUAAGCCCACGGAUCCGCAUGGAUCUGCGGGAAAAGGAUUUAUUCGCUUCAGGAUGGACUCGCGUCCAAUUAGCUAGUUGGUGAGGUAACGGCCCACCAAGGCGACGAUUGGUAGCCGGACUGAGAGGUUGAACGGCCACAUUGGGACUGAGACACGGCCCAGACUCCUACGGGAGGCAGCAGUGGGGGAUAUUGCACAAUGGGGGAAACCCUGAUGCAGCGACGCCGCGUGGAGGAAGAAGGUUUUCGGAUUGUAAACUCCUGUCGUGAGGGACGAUAAUGACGGUACCUAACAAGAAAGCACCGGCUAACUACGUG
rnacentral:rRNA from 1 species